rnacentral:rRNA from 1 species
GUCCUUUUGAAUUUAAUAUAAGGUCUGGCCUGCCCGGUGAUAUUUUAACGGCCGCGGUAAAUUGACCGUGCAAAGGUAGCAUAAUCAUUAGUCUUUUAAUAGAAGGCUGGAAUGAAAGGUUUAACGAGGAAUUAACUGUCUCAUCUUAUUUGUUUUAAAAUUUAAUUUUUUAGUCAAAAAGCUAAAAUUUUAUUGGUAGACGAGAAGACCCUAUAGAUCUUCAUAAGAUUUUAUAUAUUUAUUAAUAUAUUACUGUAAUUAUAUGAUAUCUUAUUUUGUUGGGGUGAUAAAAAUAUAUAACUAACUUUUUUAUUUUUCGAACAUUAAUUUAUGAUUAAUAGAUCCGUAAUUUACGAUUAUUAGAACAAGUUACCUUAGGGAUAACAGCGUAAUCCUCCUCCAGAGUUCUUAUUUACAGGAUGGGCUUGCGACCUCGAUGUUGGAUUAAGAUAAUAAUUAGGUGUAGCCGCUUAAUAUAUAGGUCUGUUCGACCUUUAAAUUCUU